rnacentral:rRNA from 1 species
AGCAGCCGCGGUAAUUCCAGCUCCAAUAGCGUAUAUUAAAGUUGCUGCAGUUAAAAAGCUCGUAGUUGAAUUUCGGGACCAUCAUGUCGGUCGUGCCUCGGUACGUACUGGCAUUGUUGGUUUCUCCCUUCUGACGAACCAUGAUGUCAUUAAUUUGGUGUCUUGGGGAAUCAGGACUGUUACUUUGAAAAAUUAGAGUGUUUAAAGCAGGCUCACGCUUGAAUACAUUAGCAUGGAAUAAUGAAAUAGGACGUUUGAUUCUAUUUUGUUGGUUUCUAGGAUCGACGUAAUGAUUAAUAGGGAUAGUUGGGGGCAUUAGUAUUCAAUUGUCAGAGGUGAAAUUCUUGGAUUUAUUGAAGACUAACUACUGCGAAAGCAUUUGCCAAGGAUGUUUUCAUUAAUCAAGAACGAAAGUUAGGGGAUCGAAGACGAUCAGAUACCGUCGUAGUCUUAACCAUAAACUAUGCCGACUAGGGAUCGGAUGAUGUUAAUUU